rnacentral:tRNA from 3 species
CCCACGCUAGCUCAGCCUGGUAGAGCUUCCGGCUGUAGACCGGAGUGUCGCAGGUUCAACUCCUGCGCGUGGGACCA